rnacentral:rRNA from 1 species
GGAGGAAAAGAAACCAACAGGGAUUGCCUUAGUAACGGCGRGUGAAGCGGCAACAGCUCAAAUUUGAAAUCUGGCCCUCUCAGGGUCCGAGUUGUAAUUUGCAGAGGAUGCUUCGGCGUCGGCACCGGUCUAAGUUCCUUGGAACAGGACGUCAUAGAGGGUGAGAAUCCCGUAUGCGACCGGGCGCCGCCGCCGUGUGAAGCUCCUUCGACGAGUCGAGUUGUUUGGGAAUGCAGCUCUAAAUGGGAGGUAAAUUUCUUCUAAAGCUAAAUACUGGCCAGAGACCGAUAGCGCACAAGUAGAGNGAUCGAAAGAUGAAAAGCACUUUGGAAAGAGAGUCAAACAGUACGUGAAAUUGUUGAAAGGGAAGCGCUUGCAACCAGACCUGACCGCANUUGCUUAUCCGUCCUCCUGGGCGGUGCACUCUUCUGCGAGCAGGCCAGCAUCAGUUUGGGCGGCCGGAUAAAGGCCCCGGGAAUGUAGCAUCUUUCGGGGUGUGUUAUAGCCCGGGGUGCAAUACGGCCCGCCCGGACUGAGGACCGCGCUUCGGCUAGGAUGCUGGCGUAAUGGUUGUAAGCGGCCCGUCU